rnacentral:rRNA from 11 species
AUAUGCAGUGAUCUAAAUAUCCCAAAGGUAUCAUAUCCUGUCUGAUCUUAGAAGCUAAGCAGGGUCAUCCUAGGUUUGUACUUGGAUGGAAGGCCACCAAUAGAUAGCAGGUGCUAUAUUUC